GGGGGUUGAGUGGUGGGAUCAGACCACCAGCUUAUUAACAGGGGGGGGUUGAGUGGUGGGAUCAGACCACCUGCUUAUUAACAGGGGGGGGUUGAGUGG